rnacentral:lncRNA from 1 species
UAUGAAACAUAUUGAGCAAUUUUUUUGACAUGCUGAUAUAAAAUUCAGCAUGAUAAAAAAUAGCUUCACUUUUUUGUCAGCCAGUGGUGUAGCAGCUGUGCUCAUGGGGACUCUUGAACUAUGGGAUCUGAGUAUUUACUGGAUCUAGGUGAAAUCAGAGGACCACAGUGAGUGAUCAAAUUGGAUGUCAGGGGUAUGAUGGUGGGCUGUUGGUCAGUAAGAGUGAGCAGCAUCAGUCAGACACAAUGAGAAAUUGGAGGGGGAAGCAUCGAACUGUUUUUUGUUCCUUUUUUUCUUCCUGUACUCUCACUGUUCUGCCAAGGCCUCCCAGGUUUGUGCAAUCUCUUAGUGUCAACAUCUUUCUGUAAGGCUGAUUCAAUUAAGAUUACGCCAGUUGCAGGGAGGGAGAGUGACAGAGGUCAGUUUGAUUUUGACGAUUGCUUCUAUGCCUUUUGUUUUUUCAGCUUGGGUUACUGCUUUCCUUGCCACUUGGACCAGGAGAAGGAUAAACUGUCUAUUCCCUGAGCUGCUCCUCUGGGUAAAGGCCACUGAGGUUUUACCACCAAGAAGUAGCCGUGUUUACUUGUCUGUGACCCUUCAGAGUAUGAUGUUGUUGACAACAUGUUCCUGACUUCAAAAUGCAUCCUCUCCUCCCCUGCUGUUGCCAUUCAUCUCCAUUUACCCAGAGACUGACGUGAGUGUGACACUGACACACUCCUAAGGCUGUGAUGUUUUCUUUCUUUUAUAUUUUUUUU